rnacentral:rRNA from 1 species
AUUGAACGCUGGCGGCAUGCUUUACACAUGCAAGUCGAACGGCAGCGCGGGCUUCGGCCUGGCGGCGAGUGGCGAACGGGUGAGUAAUGCAUCGGAACGUGCCCAGUAUUGGGGGAUAGCCCGGCGAAAGCCGGAUUAAUACCGCAUACGACCUGAGUGUGAAAGCGGGGGACCGAAAGGCCUCGCGCUAUGUGAGCGGCCGAUGUCGGAUUAGAUAGUUGGUGGGGUAAAGGCUUACCAAGGCGACGAUCCGUAGCUGGUCUGAGAGGACGACCAGCCACACUGGGAGUGAGACACGGCCAAGACUCCUACGGGAGGCAGCAGUGGGGAAUUUUGGACAGAGGGGGCAAACCUGAUCCAGCCAUGCCGCGUGCGGGAAGACGGCGUUCGGGUUGGAAAGCGCUUUUGUUCGGGAAGAAAUCCUCUGGGCUAAUACCUCGGGGGGAUGACGGUACCGGAAGAAUAAGCACCGGCUGACUACGUG